CUCACCCUACUAUGCUUUUUCUGACAAAGGGAACUCUUUCUACCUGGGAAGUGCCCUCUUGGCUAGCACGGUGCUGGCUGGAGGUGGGAUGAUGUAGGAAAAUGAAGCUGUCUUCACUCCCUUCUUGUGCGAUUUCAGGUGUUUUCUUCCACUGUGUAGUUCAAGUUUCUUGAGUGGAUGCCAGAGCUCUCCUAGAGCUCCUUUUGUUUGCGAAUAGCUGUCUGAUUGUUGAUCUGUGUUGUAGGGGACAGGAGGCUGCGUGCACUUAUGUCACCAUUUUGGGCUCAUCUGUUGUUUUGUGGCUGAUACUUUUCAGCCUUCUACUCCAGUGAAGCCACAAAUACCCUCAUCUACAUUUAAGACUCCUUUCUUUUCCCUUUGGGAGAACAUUGGCUAGAGCUCAGUCAACCUAAUUUCAACAUAACUGUUUUUUGAAAAUUCCCUGGUAGCCUCCUUUGUCCAUGCUUAAAUGAUUAUGGAAGUCUAGAAGGGAGACCUCUAAUGCAUUAACCCAUUUUUUUCAUGUCAGUGAAAUGAAAGUUUUAUGGGACUCUUCACUCUGAAAAGUUUUCUCAGCUGCUCUGUUACCACUCAACUAAGGACGUCUGAAGGACUGAAAGACCCCUAGUGAUCUUCUACACCAGUGCUUCUCAGAUUGGAUUUACCUGCAGUGCUUUAAAACUUGCUUAGCAUAAGCACCCUGUAACAAAUGGAAAUCUCUGAAAUUAGACCCCAGACAUCAAAGGUUUAAAAAUUCCCCAGGACUGGUGGCCUUAUGAGAAGAAGAAAAGAGAACGAUCCUUCUCUUUCUACACAUGCAUGCCCCUGGAGAGGCCAUGUGAGGACACAGUGAGAAAACAGGAAAAGAGCCCCCCUUCCCCCAAAACCAAAUUGAUCUUGGACUUUCUAGCCUCCACUACUGUGAGAAAUAAAUUUCUGUUGUGUAAGACACCCAGCUUCCGGUAUUCUGUUGUGGCAGCCCAAGCUGACUAAUAGGCCAAGCGGUGCAAGCGGUGCUGAUGCUGGUGGUCCAUAGACCGCAUUCUGAGUACACUAGCUGAAGCCACAUACCCCAGGAAUUCGGUAUCAAUUUGUCUGAGGAUAAGUGCAGGGCAUCAUUAUUUUUUAAUGUUUCCCGGGUGAUGUUGAUGUAUAACCAGGACUGAGAACCUCUGAUCAAGGCCAAUUGCUUCAACUUAAAGCUAAUGACACUGAGACUCAAGGAGGUUAAGUGGUUUGCCCUAGUUAUCAUGUAUGCUAUUGCUAAAUUUUCCAGAUUUAUAGGGGGAGAAAAAAUUUCUCCUGAGGCCGCACACUAGUAUGUGAAAGAUUGAGCCUUAGACCCCAACACUCUCCAUUUCUAGGACUGACCCAUUCAUUUCUCCCCAAACAACAUUAAUUUGUUUAAUUCAGGUAGAUUCAUUUUAAGUGGUUUUAUCAUUGUAGUACAAUCCAAGAAUGUUGUAUUCUGUGUUCUAGGUCUGCUCCAAAAUUGUUGCUAUUUGUUAUGACAUGCUUAAUGACUGAUCAUAAAGUGAGAUUAUACACACACACACACACACACACACACACACACACACACACACGAUUCAUAUGUAUAUAUGUACCUCCAUGUGGCUGAUCUUCACACUGUAACAGUAAUGUACUCACUAUGAAUAAAAACACUGCCAUCUAGCAUUACCCUUUUUUUUUUCAUUUAAAGAUUUUUAUUUAUUUAUUUGAGAAAGAGCAUGA